AAAUUGAAGAGUUUGAUCAUGGCUCAGAUUGAACGCUGGCGGCAGGCUUAACACAUGCAAGUCGAACGGUAACAGGAAGCAGCUUGCUGCUUUGCUGACGAGUGGCGGACGGGUGAGUAAUGUCUGGGAAACUGCCUGAUGGAGGGGGAUAACUACUGGAAACGGUGGCUAAUACCGCAUAACGUCGCAAGACCAAAGAGGGGGACCUUCGGGCCUCUUGCCAUCAGAUGUGCCCAGAUGGGAUUAGCUUGUUGGUGAGGUAACGGCUCACCAAGGCGACGAUCCCUAGCUGGUCUGAGAGGAUGACCAGCCACACUGGAACUGAGACACGGUCCAGACUCCUACGGGAGGCAGCAGUGGGGAAUAUUGCACAAUGGGCGCAAGCCUGAUGCAGCCAUGCCGCGUGUAUGAAGAAGGCCUUCGGGUUGUAAAGUACUUUCAGCGGGGAGGAAGGUGUUGUGGUUAAUAACCACAGCAAUUGACGUUACCCGCAGAAGAAGCACCGGCUAACUCCGUGCCAGCAGCCGCGGUAAUACGGAGGGUGCAAGCGUUAAUCGGAAUUACUGGGCGUAAAGCGCACGCAGGCGGUCUGUCAAGUCGGAUGUGAAAUCCCCGGGCUCAACCUGGGAACUGCAUUCGAAACUGGCAGGCUUGAGUCUUGUAGAGGGGGGUAGAAUUCCAGGUGUAGCGGUGAAAUGCGUAGAGAUCUGGAGGAAUACCGGUGGCGAAGGCGGCCCCCUGGACAAAGACUGACGCUCAGGUGCGAAAGCGUGGGGAGCAAACAGGAUUAGAUACCCUGGUAGUCCACGCCGUAAACGAUGUCUACUUGGAGGUUGUGCCCUUGAGGCGUGGCUUCCGGAGCUAACGCGUUAAGUAGACCGCCUGGGGAGUACGGCCGCAAGGUUAAAACUCAAAUGAAUUGACGGGGGCCCGCACAAGCGGUGGAGCAUGUGGUUUAAUUCGAUGCAACGCGAAGAACCUUACCUGGUCUUGACAUCCACAGAACUUUCCAGAGAUGGACUGGUGCCUUCGGGAACUGUGAGACAGGUG
rnacentral:rRNA from 1 species